ensembl:lncRNA
GGGGAAGCCGCUGGGUGCUGCUGAAGCUGGGUGCUGGAGAAGCUGUGCAAGCUGCGGGAGCCAAGCAGUGCAGCCCUGUGCAAUGCAAACACUGAUGAUAAGGGCGCCCUGGAACCGGGCAGAGAACACCUUCGUCCCCGCGGUCUCUUCUGCGCCCUCUGCUGACCACGCUUAACAUCGCGUCAGCCUACGAAGACAGUUACCAAGCCCAUCUGCAUUAUCACAGAACAGGCGAUGAUGAAUGGAUUUGGCGCUGACAGGCAAUAAAUUGAUAAUUGGCACCCUCACAGAUGUUCGUAGGAAUGAAAAGCAAAGCAGAUGGUAAAUAAAUCGGUGUCAGCGUAGAAUGAAGGGAGCAGUGAACAACAACGAGCAAGUCAUCAAAACAAGCAACUACAUAUAUGUAACAGGCAUGUAUUUCGGGCUAGCACAAACAAAGAGAUAAUCUAUUGGAAUGUCAUUCAGAUCCCAGCUGAAGUCUGGCCUCUGCCAAACCAGAUAGAUGCAGAAAAAGGACGGGAGACUACUGCAAGUUCAACUACGUAGUGACCUCAAUUUAAGCCUGUGUGCCAGCUAUGGAGGAGAGACCCAACAGAACCUCGGAAGAGCUGUUCCCAGAAUCUGUGGGGGAAUUGUGGUGGAGAAUAUUAUAUGCCUCCCAGAUCCUUCUUCAGAAUGACAAAGUAAAUAUUCCCCUAUUUGCUGGGAGUUCUGCCAGAAGAUGGCUCUCACGGUCAGGUCUCUUUAUGGAUUGCCUUGAAUGAUAAACUUGCCUCUCUGAGGUCACACCUCCAUCCAGGGACAUUCUUCUUUCCAUGACUCAUCAUCAUGAGAGUAGAAAAGAUCUGAAUCCCUUGCCCUAACUUGAGACCAUUCUGAACCCCAGUUCCGCGGUCUCUGCGGGCGUCAGUGGAGACUUACUAGGAUGACUUCCCAGAGGAACCUCUGCCUAUUUCUGCUUCCUCUUCUCCCUUCCAUAGCAUUGACCCAGAAAGCACUCCUUAAUAAACAUCCCACAUACUAAUCUCCAUCUCAGAAUAUGCUUCCCAGGAAUCCAACCUAUGAGCAGGCGCAGUCAAUAAAAAUGGUUUGGCAAGCUACAAUUGUUGUUGCAUCAUCAGUGCUUUAUGCCAUACCCAAUUUUAUCUCUAGAAAGCCAGAGAAAGAUUUAUCUAAGUUUUGUAUGUACAUCAG